AUUGAACGCUGGCGGAAUGCUUUACACAUGCAAGUCGAACGGCAGCACGGACUUCGGUCUGGUGGCGAGUGGCGAACGGGUGAGUAAUGUAUCGGAACGUGCCCAGUCGUGGGGGAUAACGUAGUGAAAAUUACGCUAAUACCGCAUACGAUCUAUGGAUGAAAGCGGGGGAUCGCAAGACCUCGCGCGAUUGGAGCGGCCGAUAUAAGAUUAGGUAGUUGGUGGGGUAAAGGCCCACCAAGCCAACGAUCUGUAGCUGGUCUGAGAGGACGACCAGCCACACUGGAACUGAGACACGGUCCAGCCUCCUACGGGAGGCAGCAGUGGGGAAUUUUGGACAAUGGGCGAAAGCCUGAUCCAGCCAUUCCGCGUGCAGGAUGAAGGCCCUCGGGUCGUAAACUGCUUUUGUACAGAACGAAAAGGUUUCUACUAAUACUAGGAGCUCAUGACGGUACUGUAAGAAUAAGCACCGGCUAACUACGUGCCAGCCGCCGCCGUAA
rnacentral:rRNA from 1 species